rnacentral:lncRNA from 1 species
GCUACACAUGAGGAAGCUUGGCUAGGAGAAACAUGGAAGCAAAAUAUAAUAGACUAAAACUAGUAAUGCGACAGAGAAGGGACACCAAUCAGUUUCUUCAACUUGAAUUACAUGCCUCCACAUAACAACCAUAAAAAACUUCAGUUUCAUUCAUGGUUUGAAGGAAAUACCCGGAAAUCGAAAGGAAAAAGAAGUGAGGAAAUAGUAGACAACAACAGAACAGAGUCCAACAACAAUAAUGAAACAGUAAUCCACAAAUCAAAGAGCUUCAAACCAAACCUUCGAACCCCCAAACACUCAAACCAUGUCUUCCGAGAUAAGAACUUGUGUUUCAAGAAGUUAUAGCUAAACAAGAAGGCUAGGAAACUAGAAUCAAAACUCAAUUUUGGAGCAGUUUUGUAACUAAGGAAAGCAAAGAAUUCAAUGUUCUUUUUUGAGCCACCCGUUUCAGUUUUUUGGAUGUCUUCU